rnacentral:sRNA from 1 species
UUUAUUAUUACGCAUUAACAUGCAUCUUAAAUUUAUAUAUCAAGAAAACAACUACCGCACUCUGUGUAAAGCAGCUGUAGACAGCACCACGCCUUCUGUUCAUUUGAAAAAAAAAAAAGACUAAUGACCACUAAAACAUCUAUAUGCAAUAAAAAGUGAGGAAUUUAAAGUGACAACAAGUACCAUAUCCGGGAGAUGUCUUUGAAUAAUCUAGUUACAAUAUUGUAAAACGAUGGAAUCUUGGAAUCAAUCUAGCGGUGACGAAUAUUUAAAUGGAACCAAGUUUGAUGACCACAACGCAACACGAAUAACUUGGAAUGCUGACAGUGGUGUUUUAACAAAAAUUACUUUCUACAUCAACCUAUUAGGAUUUCUUGGGAACUUUAUCACCAUUUUGUACAUCAUCUGCAGCAAGCAUCUGCACACACCAACCUUUUUCGCUAUUUGCAGUUUGGCAAUUACAGACUUUAUAGUUUGUAUGAUAUCGCUAUUAGACCAGUUUGUUGACGAUCCAUCCUUUAGAUUUGUUUCGUAUAAAAUCCUCUUUAUUGCCAUGUUUAAAUCUUCGUUUGAUGUGGUGUUCUUGUUUUUUCUUCGCUACGCCCUGAUCGUUCAUCCACUGAAGUGCAGACAGUACCUUACCAAUUCGUUUGUCAUCAGUGCAUCACUAACCUUUUGGGAAUACAGCGUUAUUGUUUUUUCCCUGAUAUUUUUGAUACAGUACUUACUUUAUGUGUCGAAUAUGAGUAUAUUUAAGAGGAGUCUAAUUUUUACAGCAAUAAUAAUUUUAAUCAUCACUGUUCUGCCAGUAACCAUUAUAUCUAUUCUUCAUUGCCUAAAACAAAGAACACUUCGCUCCUCGACUGUCAACACAGCGAUAACGAGAAAAAUGUCUUGUGUCAUUAUCAUUAUUGCCGCUUUGAAUGUUAUCUUUGGUAUAUUACUUUUAUUAGAUGAAAGUAAUGCCGUCGACAUAAUUGGACUGAUGCAUUCAUCUAAUCCAUUUAUACUAUUUCUUUUUCAUGUUUCUUAUAAGAAAUGUGUUUCUAAUGUACCAUCAUGUUGUGAUAACGGGUAAAAUUAAAUGUAUGAUUUCCAUUCUUUUUCCAUAAAUGAUACAAUUGUC